rnacentral:lncRNA from 1 species
UUGUGUAUCUUCUUUGGAGAGAUGUCUAUUCAAGUUCUUUGCCCACUUUUUAACUGUUUUUUUUUGUUGUUGCUGAGUUGUAGGAGUUUGUUAUAUAUUCUGGAUAUUAACCCCUUAUUCAAAAACUUGUAAUGUUUCCAAAUGCAUACAAAGCAGUUUACACAAAGGUCCCAACCUUUCUGGUCAGAUCCUCCACUAUUAGAACCCUCACAUGCCUGGCUGUCAAACUUGCCUGUGCACUGCUUUCCGAACACCCCUAAUGCUCCUUCCUCUGGCUGCAUUGCCCUCUUCCCUCUCCCUGCUUACUCAUUAGUUAGGGACAUGCUUCAGGGCUCAUCUAAAAUGCACUUCUAGGCCAGAUAUGAUGGCUCACGCCUGUAACCCCAGCACUUUGGGAGCCUCAGGUGGGCGGAUCACCUGAAGUCAGGAGUUCAAGACCAGCCUGGCUAACAUGGUGAAACCCCAUCUCUACUAAAAAUACAAAAAUUAGUUGGCCAUGGUGGCACAUGCCUGUAAUUCUAGAUACUCAGGAGGCUGAGGCAGGAGAAUUGCAUGAACCCAGGAGAUGGAGGAUGCAAUGAGCUGAGAUCGCACCAUAGCACUACAGCCUGGGUGACAGAGUGAGACUCUGUCCCCAAAAAAAAAUUAAAUAAAAAAUAAAUAAAUAAAAUAAAAUGCACCUCUGGAACAAAGCCCUGCUUAAGUCUUGAGGAUACAAUCUUCUCUUUCUUGGCCUGCCCCUACCCUGACCUUUCUUUGGCCCUUAUGUUACUUUCCUGUAUUGUAGUUGGAUACUUGCCUUUUCUUCACUCACUGUAAGACUCCCUCCCCAUUUUCUAUUUCCGUUCUUUUCUUGGCCAGAUUGACAGGUGGAGUCCACCAGGGAAGCAUGCAGGAAAAACAGUGUAAUAAAGAAUUUGAUACCAUAUUUGAUAUUUGACUUUUAAGCGUUUUCAAGCCCUGCUACUCCCCCCUUACCCUUCGGCCCGUAUCUGGACAAGCUGACAAAGAAAGCUCUAGUGCCCCCUCCUUUGGUGCCAGCAGGGGGUUCAAACUAUCUAAGCCUCAGCCUGCGUGCAAGAGCCCUUGCCCUGUCCCCACCCGCUAACCACCAUAAAAGCUGAGCCAAUCUCCUUUCUCAGUUCUCUCAAGCCAUUUUCAAACCAGCUUGGGAGCCACCCCUGCUCUCCCCAGAAAGCCUCAUUAUAUGAGUAAUAAACUUUUUAAUAUACUCUUAGUGCAAGUGUGGUGUCACCAAUUGAGACAUGGAAACUAAAUUUUGAGUGGGGGGAUCACAUUACUACAGGGUGGCCACAACAAACGGAACUGAAAAUGCUAGACCCCUUCUUCAUUAUGGUGACCUAGAUAACUAAGCCAGGAAUGGAUGGGGUCAUCACCUUUUUACCAUUCACUUUCUCUCUUAUCACAGUGACAAUUAUAUUUGAAUCUACUAUUUUCACAGCCAUUUUUUAUCAGAUGUUUCUCCACCACUGAUGUGCCAAGGCAAGUCUAAAACAUUUUUUAAAACUCUGUAAUUAAAAGGUUCAGAAAUGUUGGCUUAUUUUACCUUACGCUUUUUGCUCCUGAGCAGCUCUUGCAUCCUCUUGGGGUUUGGGAAUCUGUUUUUGUCCCAGGUGAAGUACCUCUUGCCCUCAGUGUGCUCUAUGUCCAGCCACAUGGCAUCAUAAGGAAUGUCAUGCUCAUCAAACCCUGCAUCCACUGCUUUUACAUCCUGCUCAUCUUCAUAGUUCCAGCGGCACUGGUGGUAUCCCAAAGAGAAAAGAGGGGGC